rnacentral:rRNA from 1 species
GAUAAACGCUAGCGGCAGGCCUAACACAUGCAAGUCGAGGGGUAGAGGAAGCUUGCUUCCUUGAGACCGGCGCACGGGUGCGUAACGCGUAUGCAAUCUACCUUUUACAGAGGGAUAGCCCAGAGAAAUUUGGAUUAAUACCUCAUAGUAUCUUUGCCUGGCAUCGGGUGAUUAUUAAAGUUCUAACGGUAAAAGAUGAGCAUGCGUCCUAUUAGCUAGAUGGUAAGGUAACGGCUUACCAUGGCAACGAUAGGUAGGGGUCCUGAGAGGGAGAUCCCCCACACUGGUACUGAGACACGGACCAGAAUCCUACGGGAGGCAGCAGUGAGGAAUAUUGGACAAUGGGCGCAAGCCUGAUCCAGCCAUGCCCCGUGCAGGAAGACGGUCCUAUGGAUUGUAAACUGCUUUUGUACGGGAAGAAACACUCCUACGUGUAGGAGCUUGACGGUACCGUAAGAAUAAGGAUCGGCUAACUCCGUGCCAGCAGCCGCCGUAAAAC